CUAACUUAUGAGCUCACUUAUGAAUUAACAUUGUUGCUAUUAUAUAUUCGACUUGACCUUUAAUUAAUCACAUCACAAUUUGAUGAGAAAUCGUUACACCACGGUAUGUAGAUAUCUGAUUCAUAUUUGGGAUGUUUUUGGCAGUGUCAGAAAACAACAAGAAGUGCAGAAAAUGAGGCAGAUGCCCUUCAGCUGAUACUCAGAAUCCUGGAGACAGACUAGCCUCCUCCCCCUCCCACCACAAGGUUCACCGAAGCUGCCUACCUAUGUAGGUGGGGACCAUGGAGAUCAGUUGCGGGUGAGAGACCGGUAUUUAGUCAUCAUGGAAACAUCAUUCAGCAGAUCAGUGGUGAAGCUUGGUAUUUUUGAUAGCUAGACACUUGUGUAUAUAUUUGGGAUGGGCCAAUCCACAUUUUCCCAGUUCCGAUCUAAUUCCCAUACACAACUGCCCAUACAGAAUCAGGUACAACAAGAGCUUGUUUUUUUUUAUUUAUAUAUAUAUAUAUAUAUAUAUAUAUAUAUAUAUAUAUAUAUAUAUUGUGUAUGUGUAUAUGUGUCUAUGUAUUUUUUAUAUGUUCCAAGACGGUAUACAGAAGUGGCAAACUUUUUGGCAGCAGCAUCCCUUACACUGUAAUAGCGGCUCCUCAUGUAUUAUAAGCUGUAGCGAGUGCACAAGACAGCUAAAGCUAGCCACUCCUAAAUCAUCAGUUGCUUUUUUUUUGUCUCACAACUGCAUGUGCUUUGUUUAAUGGAAUUAUUGGGAGUAUUGGAUCGCUGUAUCUGUAGUAUAUAUGCACCCCCUUAGCAACAUGAUGUAAUUUAAACUGAUGAUGGUUCAGCCACCAUGUGACGUGUAGCCAUGGUAAAAGAUCCAUAGAUUAAACUUGUAUUUUCAGAUCAGUUUUUGGGCUUCCUCAGUUUGUGCUUCUGUUUUUUGUGUGUGUGUGUGUGUGUGUGUGUGUGUGUGAGAGAGAGAGAGAGAGAGAGAGAAGUGCAGAAUUAGGAGUUCCAGUGACUGCCCCUCAUCCAGGAUCAUGAUCUGGAUGGACUGGUUGCCAUUGGUGCAGAAUGGAGCACUGGACCCUGCUCUUAUGCUGCUGUUCUGAGCUGAAUGUGAAGGAGGACAGGGGAAUAUCCUCACUGAAGCUCUUCCUGCUGACAUGUGGUGGAGCAUGCGAGGUGUUGAUGUUGCCUAGCUCAGAGAGACUGGGGCUAGGUACAGGCAGGUGUGGGCCUCAGGGAUGGCACAGAGAAGUAGCAGCAGCCAGGCCUGCACUACCAGCACCAGUGUAUGCUCUGGGUUGUCCCUGGUGGAGGGAAUGAAAGGGUGCUUAGUCAAAAUUCAGCAUAAUUAAUGUUUCAGUUUUUAAAUUGGAAGAAACUGGUGUUAUGAGAGCUAAAGGACUCCUUCUGUAGGUAACAUGUUGCGAAUAAAUGGUGAAGGCAUUUCACAGCAGAAAUUACCACAGAUCUGCAUACAAAUAGUUACCAAAAAAAAUUAAAUCAGUCAAGACCAAAGGGUCAAACUAUCUGCUCAAAAACAUUUCGCCGUAUUGGGGAAAUAUGGCAGGUAUAUUUUAUCAUGUCUUCUACAAAUUUUUAAAUUGUACUUCAAAUGCAAAUGUGAAUUCUUAAUUCAAAUUAUAUUUCACAAUGCUGCAUCAUCAAUGUCAUGGAGAGCGUGGGUUAAAAAAAAAUGUUGACAUCCUUUGAGGAUCCUGAAGCAAAACUGGUUGAGCACCACUGAUUUACAAAGUUAGUUUAUUAUGCACCUAUUUAUGAUUUGCUCAGUUAAUUAUAUUCUUCUGUUAUGUGACUAAAUGUCUUUCAGUUGAAAUGAAUUAAAUUUUUCUUUCUGUUAUUGCGGUUCAAAUUAUACAUCCUGUGGGGUGUGACCAAUUUCAAGUUGUAGUUUUUGAAUGCAAUGGGGAACAAGUCAUCAAUUGCGAAUUUUUCACAACCCUGGACCACUGUCCUGUAUCAGUCUUAUCUCAAAUAUUUGUUUCACCAAAAACACCAUUUCCACAGCUGAUCAUAUAUAUUUUAAUGAAAGUCGGCUGUAGUCUGUCCAUAGCCAAAGCAGCCUCCAGAUGGCUCUAAUGCAAAGUGCAGGAGUGUCUGUUAUAAGUUUCAGAAAACAAGAGCAGUGGUGCACUGCUUGUGCAAUGUGAGACUUUUUAAAACCGUAGAGGUUGUCUAUUUUAUUUCUGUUACUAUUUAUGUACAUUUUUUAUGUAAGGUAACGAGAAAACAAGAGCAGAAGUAUCUCAUUGUAUAUUUUUAAUACAUAUUACAAUAAACUUUAACUUCAAUUUGAAGUUAAUCAUCUAUAGGUAUGACUGUCCAGCUCUCCUGAUGGUCUGCCGCCGUCUGUCCAUCUCCAAAGGAGCUUGGGCGCUCUCAACAGUGUUCCCUAGAUGAGUACGUGUAGACCAGGGAGGCCAUAUGCGAGUGACAGACAGCAGAUGUCAACUUGAAGUUAAUCAUGUAAUGGGUCGACUGUCCAGUCCUCCUUAUGGUCUGCUGCCGUCUGUCCAUCUCCAAAGGAGCUUGGGCGCUCUUCACAGUGCUCCUUAGAUGGAGGUCACCUGCCGGUGUGAGACAGCUAUUUAGUCAUCAUGUAAAAAUCUGUUAGCAGAUCAGUUGUGACAGUAUUAUUGACUGGGAUAGUUAAGGGGUUACUUGUGCAUAUAUACACUCCCGUUAACAACAUGAUGUAAUUUGGACUGAUGGGGGUGGAGCACAGGUCUGUUGUGAUGUGUAGCCAUGGUAAAAGUAGAAUAGAUCAAACCCAUAUUUUCAGUUCAGUGUUUGGGCUACCAUAGUGUCUGUAUGUGUGUGUGUGUGUGUGUGAGGUGCUGAAUGAGAAGCUACACUCACUGCUCCCUCCUCCGGGAUGGUGAUGGUGAUGGACUGAUUGCUGCCGAAGGGGGUACUGGGCCCUUGUUCAGUGUCUGUGUUCCUGGCUGAAUGGGAGGGUGACAGGAAACAGUGAGGGCUACGUGUGGGCAUCAUGAUACUUGUGCCACUAGAAACUGAAUCUGAAUUUUUGAGUUGAAUCUGAACUUAUUAGUAGAAUCUGAAUUUAUGAGUUGAAUCUGAAUUUAUUAGUUGAAUCUGAAAUCACUUCGCAAUGUCAAUUUCAACUUAUUGAGAUGCACAAUCCGGGUCCUUGAGGAAAACUGAUCGACCACAGGUUCACAAUGCAACUCAUUUCCACGUUUAUGACAGUUCUGCAGGUCGGGGUAAAGUGGAAGUGUGUGGCGGGAUAUGGCAAGAGCAAAUGCAGGAUCAUAUGCGUAAUAAAAAUUAAGCAGUACCGGCACUGCUAUAUUUGAAUCUUUAUCGUACUGUACCACCACUUCUCACAAGUUGCCAGUACUCUGCUACUCAGAGACAAGCGUCAUGCGAGAGUGGUGGAGCACCGUGCGCAGUACCGACAGUGUUGUUCCCAACACCCACUCCGCACCCCCGCCGUAGUACUCAUGGUCAAUACAGUAGCAACACUUUAACUUCUCCACUUCGAGCACUGCUUAUAAAGAUCUCCAUAUUAAACGCCAGUUCAACUGAUGCUCCUGGUUAUUAGCAUUUGCAAACUGAAUUCAGAUUCAACUAAUAAAUUCAGAAUCAACUCAUAAAUUCCAAUUCAAACUAAUUAAUUCAACUAUUACAUUCAGAUUCAGCUAAUAAAUUCAGAUUCAGUUUCUAGUGGCACAAAUAUCAGCCCAUAGCUACGCUCUCUCUCCAACACACAUAUCGUAAGUCAAAGUGGUUAAAAUAAAGUACUCUACCUGAACUGCUCUGACUUGAGCAGGAGCCCUGCAUGUGCCCAAAUGGCCAGGAAGACAGGGAAAUUUCCUCACUGAAGCCAGUGGCGGUGACGUUGGCUGGGGUCUGCGGGCAGGGCUCUGAGGCUAGGCGCAGCCAGGUGUGGGCCUCUGGGAUGGCAUGCAGCAGUAGCAGGACCUGCACCACCAGAACCAACGCCAAGUGGAGGGAAGACCGAGAGCUGUGUUGGCACGUGUGUGGAAGCAGAGCCUGGCACCCCACAGCAGGGCAGAGGCCACCCACGUGGCAAGCAGCCAUGUCACCCUGCAUUUUGAGGGCUGCCUCUGGAACCAGCUGCAUGCCACCCCAGAGAGCGCCGCACUGAGGAGGACCAGCACAUAAAUGAGAGCCAUGGUGAGGUCCUGUGGCCGGGACCGACAGGCUAGCUGGCCCUGAUUCAUGGUGAUCGCAACUACCCAUAGGGUUGCCUCGAUGUUCCGCAUUAAGCAGCACAGCAGCACCAGGGCCAGGAUGAGGGAGGCCAGGGCUGCCCCACCCACUCCCACUGGCACCACCACACCCCAUACAGUGCCCAAGUCACAAAGUGGGGUGAAGGGCCACUUGAAGGAUGUGCACAUUCGAAGAGAAGCUUCAUUCUCUGAAAAGCUGCUGCUCACCAGGUUGAAGGUGAGGAAAAUUGGGAACACUGAUGACACUGCUGAGAGAGAGAGACAGAGAACAGAUUUAUUUUAUGGGUUGAAGAGGCACUAUUGUCUAAUACCCUGCAGCUAAAUGAAAUACACCAUCUUAAAAGUGAGUUCACCAGUGGUUUUUAUUUAAAUGGCCAAAUUUACUUUCUUUUGGUAAAAUAACACGCGUUAAGCAAUCAUUGCCAACUCUCAAACUCUUACACUUUCGAAUAAUCUAGGACGUGUAUAAAAUAAAAAAAACAAAGUUGAAUGAUAAAUGAGACAUUUUUAGAUAUGUUGAAGUAGGAUAAUUGUGAUUCAUUCGCCCUCUAAUCAUUUGCAGAUUAUUUGUUCUGAGACUUGAAGCGCUGCUAAAAUACAUUGCUCCGUAUACGUUUUGGCCAUAGCAAUACGGAUCCGCAAAAUGUUUGGGGUUCUGAAUAUACCUGGACUUCGGUUCUAGCCCAAAUGGGCUGGAGGAAAGGGAAAUGUCCUCACCGAAGCCACUGGGGCUUAUGUUGGCCGGUGUCUGCAUGUCAUUCAUUCUCUGCGGCACAGUGCGUAGGUUUGGGCCUCAGGGAUGGUGUGCAGCAGCAACACCAACGCAUGCUCAUGGUCGUCCCAAGUGGAGGGCAGACCGAGUGCUGCGUUGGCACGCACAUGGAAGCUGAGACAGGCGGCCCACAGCAGGGCAGGGGCCACCCAGUGGCAAGCAGCCAUGCAUUUGCAGUGCUGCUGCUUCCUGAAACAGCUGCACGCCACCCCAGAAAGCGCCGCACUGAGGAGGACCAUAACAUUAAUGAAGACCAUGGUGAAGUCCUGUGGCUGGGACUGACAGGCCAGCUGGCCCUGAUUCAUGGUAAUCACAACUACCCACUGAAUAGCUGCAUAACCUUGUCACCUUAGCUCCGAUGAGGCAGCUAUGUGUUGUCUGUGGAAUCCAGUGCAGCCGCCUGUCCUGGGCCAGCAUUCAUGUAAGGCAUGGCACAAACAAUGCCGCAGAGAUGGCAUAUCUCGAAAUGCAGACAUGCUGGCCCUCCUCAGUGACGAAGCUGAAGCCAAAGAUGCCAGCAAGCAUCAAGUGCAAUGGUGUCACCCCACUACGGUUUUUGGCCUCUGUGAUCCGUGGCAGGCAACACAGAAGCGGCAAUUGAGUUGUGCCCCAUUGCAUUGAAAAACUGGAACUAGAAGGAAGAAGAAUUUUAUUUUAUUGUCACCUAACAGAAAAAUGUCUUUUCAUCGAGCAAAUAAACAGUUGUAUUAUUAAUUUUCUAAAUCAGUGGUUUUAAACUGGUUAGGCUUUUGGAUUCCCCGGGGGUGUCGACAUUUGUUAAUUUAUGCACUCAGCCAUUGUUCAUGCAGCAUUGUGAAAUAUAAUUAAAAUUAUUGAAGGAAUCAUUUGCAUUAUGUAAAAUAUUUAUAAUUAUUACCAUCAUCGAAAAUCGCAUUGUUAAUAUGAAAUGCAAUUUAAAGAUACCUGCCAUAUUUUCCCAACUUGACAAAUGUUUUAUGAACAGACAGGUUGACCAGCCCUGGCCUUAACUAAUUUUUUAACUGAAGUUUCCGCAUGCAUAUCUGUGGUACUUCUAUUUCUAUUCUACCUCCUGCUCUGAGUUAUCCCAGGAGGAGGGCAGACUGUGCUCCACGUUGGCAAACAGAAAGUGAGCCAGGCGGCCUACAGCAGGGCAGAGGUGACAAGCAGGCGGCAAGCAGCCAUGCAGCCCUGCACAGGCCACACCAGGCAGUGCUGCAGUGAGCAGGACCAGCAUGUAGAAUAAGGCCAACAUGGAAUCCUGCAGCUGGGAUCAACCUCGAGGAGAAGCUUCAUCCUCAGAAAAGCUGCUGUCCUCCAGAGAGAACAUGAGGAAGCUCGCGGACAAGGAUGACAAUGCCUUUUCUCACAGGGACCAAGAACUGCUUAAAACAUGAUGCAGAGUUCCCCAGUGUGUUUCAUUUAAACAGGCAAAUCUCUACAUAAAAUAACAAGUUUUAUAUAAUCAUUGACAUCUCAAACAUUAAAAUAUUCUAGAACAUGUAUAAAAGUCACACAGUGAAGUCAAGAGCCUUUUGAGGAAGGAGGCGCAGCCUUGAGAAGCUUCAUUCUCCGAAAAGCUGCUGCCCACCAGGGAGAAGGUGAGGAGGAUUGGGACCACUGAUGACACUGCCAUUGUUGAGAGAGAGACAGAGAACAGAAUCAUUUUAUGGGUGGAAGUAGCAUUGGUCCAUUUAAAACAGUUUACUAUUGUGCAGUGGCCUGUACUACGAAGGGGGUUUAACCAAAUCAGAUUUAACAUGGAGUUAAUUUGCGAACGCUGGGUUGUCUCAGUCGGUGCUAAUCAGUACUACUGCGCCAGAUAAGUUGAUUUGUUAAAUCGGUGUUAACUGCAUUGGAGUUUGGGCGCAUUCACAUGGAGCGUGUUCGGCAGCACAAGUCUAGACGCGUUUGGCUCAUGGCGCUCACAGAUCAAGACCGCAUCCUGAUUAUGCAGGGUUAUGAGGAGUUUAGAUCAAUGCUGCAAAGAAAGUCCAAUACCACUGCAGCCAACAAAAGCAGGCAGGCUUGUUGACAACGUAUUGCCGACCGAGUAAAUGCAGAAGUACAUUUUCAUGGUCAUAAAACUUGGUCUAAAAUAUCUCACGAUCAAGUAUUAGACUGAAAUGUUUUCUGAAAAGAAUUGAAAUACUGUUAAUAAAUACAGAGGCUCACAGAUGCGACACAAUUCAGAAGUCACCUAUUAUUUGCUGUUAAGUUAUGUAAUGCUCCCUAAAGUUCCAUUACUGUGAUAUAUGUUACUCGUAAUGUAAACCUAAUGCUAACAAUAAUUUAACUGAUCCGAUUUCAUAUGCAAUAGUAGUGGAAAGCGUACGUGGCAGCAAGUCAAGAUGAAAUAUAAAAACAUAAGUGAUAGGGCUAUAUGUAUUUAUAUUUCUACUCAUGAAAGAUUUGUUGUGUCUAUCUUCCGUUUAAUAGUGUGUUUCUAUGUUUUACAGCUAAUAAGAAAAAGGUGUCUGUUAAUAUUACACUUAAUAGAAGGUGAGCCAUUGUUUAACAAACAAAUGAUUUACAACAGGACAAAACAGAAGCAUAUGUGUAGUGAGAAAACGACUAGGAACCUGUGACCGCGGUUACGUUAGGCUCAUAUUCCAUAUUCAGUUUUCUGGCUUUAAUAACUUUUAAUGGAAGAAAGGUGGGGCGUUAAUAGCUAAUAUAAUAGGUCCUUUCAGCUGUAAUGACAUGGUGGUUUGGCAUUUUUGGCUUGUGGCAAAUGUUGGUGUUGUGACUGAUGCGGCGCGGACCGGGGAAGCAGGCAAGGAGAACAGGACUGGGGUAAAAUAAAGGGGUUUUAAUCGGGAAAGGAGCACGAAAGAUAUACAGACUUUAAUGACCAGACUGGGGAAAACAUACCUAACGUGGAAUAAAUACAUUGCACUAAUGACAGUAACAGGAAACAGCUGGUGAACUCGGGAAAUUCAUGACACAGGAGGAUCCGACGAGCUGGUCAUGACAGAUGCACACCCCUUUGUUUCCCAGAUUGCUUUACGUACAAAUUUUUAUUCAACUUUGAAUGUGUCUGUAUAAUGUGCAAUGGGACAAUACAUGAAUGGUUUAAUAACUUUAAAACUAGACAAGACAGGCACAUCUAGUGAAGUAUGCUUUGAUAAGUGGACAACAGGGAGCCAGAAUAACUUUCUCUCUAACGGUUAUUAAUUAAUACAUUGCAUGCAUAUUAUAUGCCUUUGCUCCAUUUCAUACAUAUUAACAGAGAGAGUCCCUCACGAUUCAUGCCCCAGUGUCUUCGGCAUUGUCUUCGGAGAAAUUGUAGUUGGAGGGGCGAUGCUCAUAUAGGGCUGGCUUAUGCAGAAACUUUGACUUAAUCAAGAAUAAAAACUACUCGGAGCAGGUUUGAGACUUAGCGUAAAUUCCCAUAACAGCACGCCUGGAGUAAAACCUAGCCACCUUUCACAGUACGGGUUAAUCGCAAAGUUACGACCACACGUCAUCAAAUUACUCGCAAAGUUACCUCGAUAAGCCAGUAACCCUGCUUUGUAGUACAGGCCACUCGUCUGAGCAACAAACUGAGCCUGCGAUGUCUGAUCAACAGAGUGUGAGACUUCCAAGUCUUUGUUAACAGGCCGAAAGCUCUGCUGUGCAAACUGAGCAACUACGCCAGCUAACAUGAGUGUCGAAUGUGUGUGUGAGUAUGCCACUGUAUUUAUAGCUCCUUCAGCCUGCUCUGCAAUGUACUACUCUAUCUCUGUUAGUCUUCUGGGUAUCACUUGGUGUGUGCAUUUAGCCAGGGACAGAUUAGGUGUAAAGCAAAGAAUUGGACAUGAAAUUGUACCUUUUAAAAUUGAUUUAUUCGAUGCCUUUAUCCAAAGCAACGUACAGUAGACAGAUGCAAUCUUCAUGUACUCUGUUUGAUUUGAACGCACAACUUCUGCAUUAUUGGCAGAUUGCUCUGCUUGUUGAGCUGCUGGAGUAUUAAACUUUCAAAGCAACAUGUCUGGGGGCCCGGGACUCUAGCAGCACAGAGAACUAAAACUUGGUCUAGGCACACAAGCAUAAGGCGCCAUAUGUUUUACUGAAGAUACAUGCUUCUGCUGUUUAGGGGCUACGGAAAAACAAUGCAGGACAACAUUCCCGAACAAGAAAACAAUGUGGUUUUUAGGCAAAAUUCAUCACAAUAUGUUGGAGUUGAAUUGGAAGAAACGGUAAUUAUGAGGGCUGAAGGAGUCCUGUGGGCACCAUACAUUGUUGUAAAUAAAAGAUGAACAAAGGCAUACAGCAGUAAAGUGGAGUAAAUUGGUCAACCCUGUCAAAGCCUGCAGUAAGUUCCAAAAGCAGCACAGUCGCACUGUCAGCAUCAGUUGCCAUUGCUAUGUUAUUUAUGACUUCAGUUAAGGCAGUUUCAGUGCUGAGUCCUAGGCAGAAGCCCGACUGGAAUCUAUUCAGUAUGUUGUGUGUCUCCAAGUAUGACUGAAGUUGGGCAGUGACAGGUGCCCAGCUCUUCUCCAGAGCUUUGGACCAAAAUGGUACAAUAGAGACAGGCCUAUAAUUACUCAGCUCCUAUGGAUCCAAAGUUGGUUUCUUCAGUGGUACGCUGGUCUGAUUACUGUAUAUUGGUCGGGCACAUUGCCUGAAGCCUGGGACGCAUUUAUCAUUGCUGUCAUAGGUCUUGCCAGAACUCCCAGGGAUUUUCUUACCUUCAUCUUACCAUGUAUAUUUUUGUCACAUCUCACAAGUGCUCUUUUAUCAUUCCAUUUUUUGUGAUUUCAUUAAUCAAUUUGUUCUUAACUAUGUCACAUCAUUAUUUUCUAUUUCUGCUAUGAUUAGUGCUUUUUAGAAAUACAAAUGUUUUGUAUUUGUGCCUAUUUCCACCUUUGCAGUUUUAAUAAAUGGAACUAUUUAAUCCGUUAA